rnacentral:lncRNA from 1 species
UUCAAGUAAUACCUAUUUCGUCAAACUUUCUCGGUGUCCCUAGACUUAGCCUCUCAUCUCUCUAACUCUAUAUACUUUUCCAGUUUCCUCAUGAUUAGAGAUUUUUUAAGAAUUUAUUUAACAAUCCUAAUUCAGGAAAAAAUAUGAAAGAGUGGUCUUUUUAAAAGUAAAAUUAACGAAAGCAAAUAAAAGAACAAAAAGCAAACAAACACAAAAAUAGAAAAAUAAAGGAAAAGUAAAGAAAU